CAGUCGCCGCGGGAAUACGUAGGGUGCGAGCGUUAAUCGGAAUUACUGGGCGUAAAGCGUGCGCAGGCGGUUAUAUAAGACAGAUGUGAAAUCCCCGGGCUCAACCUGGGACCUGCAUUUGUGACUGUAUAGCUAGAGUACGGCAGAGGGGGAUGGAAUUCCGCGUGUAGCAGUGAAAUGCGUAGAUAUGCGGAGGAACACCGAUGGCGAAGGCAAUCCCCUGGGCCUGUACUGACGCUCAUGCACGAAAGCGUGGGGAGCAAACAGGAUUAGAUACCCCAGUAGUCCCUGUCUCUUAUAC
rnacentral:rRNA from 1 species